rnacentral:rRNA from 1 species
GUUAACGUCAAGACCCAAGGCUAUUAACCCUGGGCUUUUCUUCACAAUUGAAAGUGCUUUACAACCCUCGGGCCUUCUUCACACACGCGGUAUUGCUGGAUCAGGGGUUGCCCCCAUUGUCCAAUAUUCCCCC